AAUACUUUAUGCGAGGGAAAAAAACUCUUGCUUUCCUCGAUCCCUUAUGUAGAGCUCACAGCUGCGUGGCUUGGAUUCCAAUUUGCGGUUUUGAAAUUUGGGGCUAGAGAGGGAGGCAAAUUGUGCAGCUGAUUAUAUAGCUAACAAGGCUUUGUCAAGGGAUGUGCAGGUUUUUCAGGGAGAGACCCUAGAACUUGAAUUUGCUGGAAUUAUCAGGAUGCAAAUGGGCUACCAGUGCAAGAGUUUUUUUUUCAGCUGUUUGAAAUGCAAUGGAUAUGUUGCCUUAUUUAUGAAUUCAUACUUUAUUUUGCUGAACUAUGGUGUAUGCUAUUACAAAGAUGUAAUAUUACUCAACCAUACAGCCACGAUAUAUGGAUUUCAGCAAAUAUUCAACAUCCAUGGCAGGCAAGUUUGAGCUCACUGUAUCAACAAUGGAGGACAUUUUGUUCAUCCAACUGCAACAAUAUUUUUGUUAUAGAAUUAUUCUGCUCAAAAUAGUGGUCUC